rnacentral:rRNA from 1 species
UGCCUCACAGCUAGGGACAACAUUUAGAAAUGAAUGCUAAUACCUAAUAUUAUGAUAAUAGGGCAUCCUAUAAUUAUGAAAGCUAUAUGCGCUGUGAGAGAGCUUUGCGUCCCAUUAGCUAGUUGGAGAGGUAACGGCUCACCAAGGCGAUGAUGGGUAGCCGGCCUGAGAGGGUGAUCGGCCACAAGGGGACUGAGACACGGCCCUUACUCCUACGGGAGGCAGCAGUGGGGAAUAUUGGACAAUGGACCGGGAGUCUGAUCCAGCAAUUCUGUGUGCACGAUGAAGUUUUUCGGAAUGUAAAGUGCUUUCAGUUGGGAAGAAAUAAAUGACGGUACCAACAGAAGAAGUGACGGCUAAAUACGUGCCAGCAGCCGCGGUAAUACGUAUGUCACGAGCGUUAUCCGGAUUUAUUGGGCGUAAAGCGCGUCUAGGUGGUUAUAUAAGUCUGAUGUGAAAAUGCAGGGCUCAACUCUGUAUUGCGUUGGAAACUGUAUAACUAGAGUACUGGAGAGGUAAGCGGAACUACAAGUGUAGAGGUGAAAUUCGUAGAUAUUUGUAGGAAUGCCGAUGGGGAAGCCAGCUUACUGGACAGAUACUGACGCUGAAGCGCGAAAGCGUGGGUAGCAAACAGGAUUAGAUACCCUGGUAGUCCACGCUGUAAACGAUGAUUACUAGGUGUUGGGGGUCGAACCUCAGCGCCCAAGCAAACGCGAUAAGUAAUCCGCCUGGGGAGUACGUACGCAAGUAUGAAACUCAAAGGAAUUGACGGA